AUUGAACGCUGGCGGCAGGCCUAACACAUGCAAGUCGAGCGGAUGAAGGGAGCUUGCUCCUGGAUUCAGCGGCGGACGGGUGAGUAAUGCCUAGGAAUCUGCCUGGUAGUGGGGGAUAACGUCCGGAAACGGGCGCUAAUACCGCAUACGUCCUGAGGGAGAAAGUGGGGGAUCUUCGGACCUCACGCUAUCAGAUGAGCCUAGGUCGGAUUAGCUAGUUGGUGGGGUAAAGGCCUACCAAGGCGACGAUCCGUAACUGGUCUGAGAGGAUGAUCAGUCACACUGGAACUGAGACACGGUCCAGACUCCUACGGGAGGCAGCAGUGGGGAAUAUUGGACAAUGGGCGAAAGCCUGAUCCAGCCAUGCUGCGUGUGUGAAGAGGUCUUCGGAUUGUAAAGCACUUUAAGUUGGGAGGAAGGGCAGUAAGUUAAUACCUUGCUGUUUUGACGUUACCAACAGAAUAAGCACCGGCUAACUUCGUG
rnacentral:rRNA from 1 species